UACGGAGGGUGCAAGCGUUAUCCGGAUUCACUGGGUUUAAAGGGUGCGUAGGCGGGCAGGUAAGUCCGUGGUGAAAUCUCUGAGCUUAACUCAGAAACUGCCAUGGAUACUAUUUGUCUUGAAUAUUGUGGAGGUAAGCGGAAUAUGGCAUGUAGCGGUGAAAUGCUUAGAUAUGACAUAGAACACCAAUUGCGAAGGCAGCUUACUACACAGUUAUUGACGCUGAGGCACGAAAGCGUGGGGAUCAAACAGG
rnacentral:rRNA from 1 species